rnacentral:rRNA from 1 species
AUUGAACGCUGGCGGCAGGCCUAACACAUGCAAGUCGAGCGGAUGAGUGGAGCUUGCUCCAUGAUUCAGCGGCGGACGGGUGAGUAAUGCCUAGGAAUCUGCCUGGUAGUGGGGGACAACGUUUCGAAAGGAACGCUAAUACCGCAUACGUCCUACGGGAGAAAGUGGGGGAUCAUCGGACCUCACGCUAUCAGAUGAGCCUAGGUCGGAUUAGCUAGUUGGUGAGGUAAAGGCUCACCAAGGCGACGAUCCGUAACUGGUCUGAGAGGAUGAUCAGUCACACUGGAAAUGAGACACGGUCCAGACUCCUACGGGAGGCAGCAGUGGGGAAUAUUGGACAAUGGGCGAAAGCCUGAUCCAGCCAUGCCGCGUGUGUGAAGAAGGUCUUCGGAUUGUAAAGCACUUUAAGUUGGGAGGAAGGGCAGUAAGUUAAUACCUUGCUGUUUUGACGUUACCAACAGAAUAAGCACCGGCUAACUUCGUGCCAGCAGCCGCCGUAACAC